rnacentral:rRNA from 1 species
UACGUAGGGGGCUAGCGUUGUCCGGAAUCAUUGGGCGUAAAGCGCGUGUAGGCGGUCCGGUAAGUCCGCUGUGAAAGUCGGGGGCUCAACCCUCGGAUGCCGGUGGAUACUGUCGGGCUUGAGUACGGAAGAGGCGAGUGGAAUUCCUGGUGUAGCGGUGAAAUGCGCAGAUAUCAGGAGGAACACCAAUUGCGAAAGGCAGCUCGCUGGGACGUUACUGACGCUGAGACGCGAAAGCGUGGGGAGCAAACAGG